UACGUAGGGGGCAAGCGUUACUCGGAUUCACUGGGCGUAAAGAGCGUGUAGGCGGUCAGGUAGGUCCGUUGUGAAAACUCGAGGCUCAACCUCGAGACGCCGAUGGAAACCAUCUGACUAGAGUCCGGAAGAGGAGAGUGGAAUUCCUGGUGUAGCGGUGAAAUGCGCAGAUAUCAGGAAGAACACCCGUGGCUAAGGCGGCUCUCUAGUACGGUACUGACGCUGAGACGCGAAAGCGUGGGGAGCGAACAGG
rnacentral:rRNA from 1 species